rnacentral:tRNA from 1 species
GGCCCUAUCGUCUAGUGGUUAGGACAGCAGGUUUUCAUCCUGUAAACAGGGGCCCUUAGGGCUA